rnacentral:rRNA from 1 species
UACGUAGGGUGCAAACGUUGUUCGGAAUUACUGGGCGUAAAGCGCGUGUAGGCGGCCAUCUAAGUCGGGCGUGAAAUCCCACGGCUCAACCCGGGAACUGCGUCCGAUACUGGCAGGCUUGAAUUCGGGAGAGGGAUGCGGAAUUCCAGGUGUAGCGGUGAAAUGACGUAGAGAUGUGGAGGAACACCGAUGGCGAAGGCAGCCUCCUGGGCCAGCACUGACGCUCAUGCACGAAAGCGUGGGGAGCAAACAGG